rnacentral:rRNA from 1 species
UUACAAACCCAGGUGAAGGGAGAUCCGGAAAGGCAAAUCCGCCGGAUCGUCUGCCAGGAAAAUCCUCUAAGGAGAGUUAGGUGACUGUACCACAAACGGACACACGUGGACGAGAUGAGUAUUCUCAGGCGCUCGGGUGAUGAGUUGUUAAGGAACUAGGCAAAUUAACCCCGUAACUUCGGGAGAAGGGGUGCCCAUGCAAAUGGGCCGCAGUGAAUAGCGUCAGGCGACUGUUUAACAAAAACACAGGUCUCUGCUAAGUCGAAAACGAUGUAUAGGGGCUGACGCCUGCCCGGUGCCGGAAGGUUAAAGGGAGUGGUUAGCGCAAGCGAAGCUACGAACUGAAGCCCGGUGAACGGCGGCCGUAACAAUAACGGUCCUAAGGUAGCGAAAUUCCUUGUCGGGUAAGUUCCGACCUGCACGAAUGGCGUAACGAUCUGACGACUGUCUCAACAACUCGCCCGGCGAAUUUGUGGUUCCGGUGAAGACGCCGGAUGCCCGCCACAAGUCGGAAAGACCCCGUGCACCUUUACUAUACCCUAUCAGUGAAUUAUGGGUUGGACUGCGCAGGAUAGGUGGGAGGCUUUGAGAUCGGGUUUUUGGACUCGAUGGAGCCAACGGUGAGAUACCACCCUGUGUAAUCUGUGAUUCUAACCUGCUUCCAUGAUCUGGAAGAGGGACACUGGUAGGCGGGUAGUUUGACUGGGGCGGUCGCCUCCUAAAUUGUAACGGAGGCGCUCGAAGCUGCGUUCAGGUGGUUUGGAAAUCCACCGACGAGUGCAAAGACAUAAACGCGGUUAACUGCGAGACCUACAAGUCAAGCAGGUGGGAAACCAGGACUUAGUGAUCCGGUGGUUCUGUAUGGAAGGGCCAUCGCUCAACGGAUAAAAGGUACGCCGGGGAUAACAGGCUGAUCGGAGUCAAGAGUUCACAUCGACGCUCCGGUUUGGCACCUCGAUGUCGGUUCAUCGCAUCCCGGGGGUGUAGAAGCUCCCAAGGGUUAGGCUGUUCGCCUAUUAAAGCGGUACGUGAACUGGGUUCAGAACGUCGCGAGACAGUUCGGUCCCUAUCUGUGGUGGGCGCAGGAAAUUUGAGGGGGCUUGGCCUUAGUACGAGAGGACCGGGCUGAACGAACCCCUUGUGAUACAGUUGUCACUCCAGUGGCACAGCUGUGUAGCGAAGUUCGGUUAGGAUAAGCGCUGAAUGCAUAUAAGUGCGAAACCUUCCCCAAGAUGAGAUUUCCCAACCGUAAGGUAAUAAGGGCCGUGGAAGACUACCACGUUGAUAGGACGGGUGUGUAAGAGUAGUAAUACUUUGAGCUAACCGUUACUAAUAGCCCGUUCGGCUUGACCAA